GCAAUUUGGAGGGAAGAGUUUGACCUGAAGACGUUUCGCCUGCUACCUGUUUUAGGGUUUAAAGUGAAAUGCAGCCUUUAUGCCACCCCUCCAGCCUGCCCUGGAAAGGACAUGAAAGUGAAGAGAGAUGAAGUAACUCACUGAAGAGCACACACAUUGAGAGCCCAGGUUAACUCCAAAGUGUAUUUCCUUCACAGAUCGGAUCAUGAAUUAUCUCCCAACGUGAGAAGGUCUUAUUCUCCACAGUUUACUGUUGAGGGGACUGAGGUGCAGAAAGACCAAGGUGUAUGCAGCCCAGUCGCCUCUGAUCCCACUCCACUGCAUUGCUGUCUUUUGUAUGCAGCAGGAAGGACACUUCCUGUAAAAAUGGAAAAAAAAAAAAAAAAAAAAAAAAAAAAAAGCCUCAAGUUGUUUGAGAGAGGGUCAGGAAGAAAACGGGAAGAGCCAGUAGACUGCAGGUGCUUUCAAAGGGCUCCCUGUCUUUGACAUCCCUAAAAUAAAAACUUGUUAGUUAGGAGAUUGGCCACAGAAAUCCAGGUGGAAAACCUGCAGAAGAGUGGGUUCCACAAUUCUUCCAAACAGAACAAAAAAACCCCAAGACUUGUUAAUUUUUACCAGUGGAGGGGAAGAGGUUACAGGAGUGGCCUUGCUCCCAGGGUUGGCCUUGCUGAGCAGGUAACAAUACCACACAUAUAAAGGUUUUAAGGUUUGUCCUCAGGUGAAAAGGUAGUCAAUACUUUACAUUUUGAAGAUAGUUUUUAAAAUCACCUACUCCAUCAGUAGUAAUACAACAAUAACUACCAUUUACACACCACCGCACAUAUCGGAGCUGUGUAAAGAGCUUUACACUGCACCAUCUCAAUUAAUUCUCACAACUCUAUGAAGUAGGUUUUAUUAUUCUGAAUUUAUAGACGUGUUAACUGUGGCCCAG
rnacentral:lncRNA from 1 species